UCCUGGAGGUCCUGGAUGGAUCCUGCAGGUCCUGGAUCAAUCCUGCAUCCCCUGAGGGCACAGGGAGUGUCUCUGAUCCUGCUGGAGUCAGGGAGCUCCACCUCCCGGGAGGCGCCACCUCCCUCAGGGACACUAUAAAGGACGAGCUGUCCCCUGUGCCCUGGCCAGUGCCAGCCUGGAGAGACCUCGGAGCCAGGAGCCUGCAGGUGGAUGCUGUGCUGAUUGCUGAAGGCAGCGAGGCCCCAGAUCUGCCCCAAGGACGGGCUUGGCCACGAGCCAGAUCCCAUGGUUGGAUCUGAGUUCAGAAGAUCCUCCAGCAGCCCCAUCCUCAGCCCCCAGUCACAUCCCCUGGAUCUGGGGACAGAAGACCCUCCAAAAUCCCCUUCCUGAGCCCCAGCCAGAUCUCCUGGAUCUGGGGACAGAAGAUGCCGCAGCACCCCCAUCCUGAGCCCCAGCCAGACCCCCUGGAGCCCCCAGGAGCCGCCCCCAGUGCCCAGGACGAGGCCACCACAGU